UACGUAGGGUGCGAGCGUUAAUCGGAAUUACUGGGCGUAAAGCGUGCGCAGGCGGUUAUAUAAGACAGUUGUGAAAUCCCCGGGCUCAACCUGGGAAUUGCAUCUGUGACUGUAUAGCUAGAGUACGGUAGAGGGGGAUGGAAUUCCGCGUGUAGCAGUGAAAUGCGUAGAUAUGCGGAGGAACACCGAUGGCGAAGGCAAUCCCCUGGACCUGUACUGACGCUCAUGCACGAAAGGCGUGGGGAGCAAACAGG
rnacentral:rRNA from 1 species